rnacentral:rRNA from 1 species
AGUUUGAUCCUGGCUCAGGAUGAACGCUGGCGGCGCGCCUAACACAUGCAAGUCGAACGGUUAAGGCGCCCUUCGGGGCGCGAAUAGAGUGGCGAACGGCUGAGUAACACGUGGGCAACCUCCCCCCCCCACCGGCACCCCUGGAAACUGGUGUAACCCGUUCCUCCCCACCCCCCAGGGGGAGCGGGAAACUUUCCGCGGGGAAUGCCCCCGCCUUUUAAGUUGUUGCGGGGCAACGGCCCCCAAAGGGGAAUUUGGGAGCUGGGUUGAGACCCGCACCCCCCAGUUUGGGAUUGAACACCGCCCCAAAUUCUUAGGGAGGCACCAGUGGGAAUCUUGCGAAAGGGGGCAACCCUGAAGGAAGGGACGCCGGUGCGGGACGAAGCCUUCGGGUCGUAAACCGCUUUCAGCAGGGACGAGGCCGUUAAGGUGACGGUACCUGCAGAAGAAGCCCCGGCUAACUACGUGCCAGCAGCCGCGGUAAUACGUAGGGGGCGAGCGUUAUCCGGAUUCAUUGGGCGUAAAGCGCUCGUAGGCUGCCCGCUAGGUCCGGGGUCAAAUCCGGGGGCUCAACCCCCGCACGCCCCGGAUACCGGCGGGCUUGAGUCGGGUAGGGGAAGGCGGAAUUCCAGGUGUAGCGGUGGAAUGCGCAGAUAUCUGGAAGAACACCGGUGGCGAAGGCGGCCUUCUGGGCCUCGACUGACGCUGAGGAGCGAAAGCUGGGGGAGCGAACAGGAUAAGAUACCCUGGUAGUCCCAGCCGUAAACGAUGGACGCUAGGUGUGGGGGGAGAUGCCCUCCGUGCCGCAGCCAACGCAUUAAGCGUCCCGCCUGGGGAGUACGGCCGCAAGGCUAAAACUCAAAGGAAUUGACGGGGGCCCGCACAAGCAGCGGAGCAUGUGGCUUAAUUCGAAGCAACGCGAAGAACCUUACCAGCGCUUGACAUUAUGGUGAAGCCGGGGAGACCCGGUGGCCGAGAGGAGCCAUAACAGGUGGUGCAUGGCUGUCGUCAGCUCGUGUCGUGAGAUGUUGGGUUAAGUCCCGCAACGAGCGCAACCCCCGUCGCGUGUUGCCAGCGGUUCGGCCGGGCACCCGCGCGAGACCGCCGGCGUCAAGCCGGAGGAGGGUGGGGACGACGUCAAGUCAUCAUGCCCCUUAUGCGCUGGGCCGCACACGUGCUACAAUGGCCGGCACAACGGGCUGCCACGCCGCAAGGCGGAGCGAAUCCCCAAAGCCGGCCCCAGUUCGGACCGGGGGCUGCAACCCGCCCCCGCGAAGUCGGAGUUGCUAGUAAUCGCGGAUCAGCACGCCGCGGUGAAUGCGUUCCCGGGCCUUGCACACACCGCCCGUC